GAACAUUUAUAAUUAAUUUAUGGUUAGCUUAAUAAAAAGCUUGUUAUAUAUUUAUAUGGACCAACAUAUUUUUCUAAGGAUUCUAAAAAUGAUUGUGGUGAUGACAUGUGGCUACAAAAAAUAUGUUGUAGUGCUUCUCUUUUAAUAUAUAAGGGUUAUAUAUAUAUGUUUGAGCGUGUGAGAAGAAGCUUGAUUACGAUUACAAGUUGAGACAUUUUUCUCAUCUCUUCUCAUCUUGAUAAUGUUUUCCUCUUGCCUCCUUUAAAAACUUCAAGAGAAGGCAAUUUUCUUUUCUAAUUAAUAAAUUUUUGAUUAUAGCUAGGGUUGAUGUAAGGUUUGCAUAUCUACAUGGAUCUAUUUCUGUGCUGGUUUUGAGAGGCUGAAGCUGCCAGCAUGAUCUGUACCAGAUCAUCCUGCGGCUUCAUUCACUCAAUCACCAACAACGGCAAAACAAUGAACUUAAAUUUCAUGAGAAAAGCGAUUCCCGUUUGACUUUUGCGACUAGCCUCUAUCAUCACUCGAGGAACAUAAACAAUCAAUGUAAUGCUGAAGCCCUCCUUGAGGAUCCAUAUGUCUUCCAAAUAUGAUGCAAAAGCAGGGGUUUGGAUACUAUCUUCAUCAGCUGAAAAUAAUAUAUAGCAAAAGUCACCUGAAAUUGACGUAAAUUCUUCAUGCAUUAUAUUGCCAAUAUGAGUACCUCAAUAUUUGAGUGGAGAAGGGAAAGCGCUGCACUCGUGUUCAUUGCUCCCACUAGACCAUCAAAACCCUGCAAAGUACUGUAUCAGGUUUGUCCCAAUAAAUUUCCCCCCUCCUUCCAUUAUAACUAAUAUCAUAAUUUUUAAUAUUGAAAUUAUUAUAUGUAUGAAAAUAACUAAUAUUUGUAGAUACAAUAAACAUCUUUAAAUUAAUAAUAUCGAGACUGUGAAAUUUUCUUAAUUUAUAGAGUUAUUAAUUUAUAAAAAGUUUAUUUUUUAAAAAAAAUCUCUCUAUUUUAAAAUAUAAAUUUUUAUAAAAUAUGUUUCAUAUCAUUUAAAUGUAAUUUUAGAUAUAACUUUACUAAAUAUUAUCAAAAUAGAUAGAAUUGUUAAAAAAAUAAAGAUAAAUUUUAUUGUGAAUAUAAAACAAAUAAUACAAUGUGUUGUUUGUACUUAUAUAAACCUUAUAUAGCUAUAUAUAAAUUAUUAGUUUAUAAUUUUAGUGGGACUAUACAUUUACGUAAGAUUUUCUAAAAAACUAUUAUCUUAUUAUUUUAUCGAUUUAUUUCAUAUUUUGAACAUGUCCAACUUGGGACAAAUGUUUUUUACUAAUUUACCGUGUUUAUUAAUUUAUAAAUUUUCUAAUGUAUAUAUUUUUACUUCAGAUAUUUUCGGAUACCAGCGAAUUUUUAAUUCGGUUCAGUUUGAGAUUCGUUUCUUCGAGUAUAGGAAAUCAUGUAGCGUUCGGAUAUCUAUAUCAGAUCGGGUUCAGUUUGGUGUCUUAAAAUUUGGAUUGGAUCCGGUUCGGAUCUUUGGAUCCAGAUAAUUUACUCAGAUGUACUUAAAUUUAUAAUUAAGUUUAAUAUAAUAUAUUGACAAAAGGUGUAGUUUAUUGACAAGACACAUAAUUAUCAUAUUAAUAAUAGUUGAUCAAACUAUAGAAUUAGCCUAUCACCUUUACAUGUUGAACGUGAAGCCUUUAUUUCGCAAAUGAAAUGCAUGAAGAUCCUAUAUUUUAUGGAAGUGAAGUUUGCUACGGACUAAGCUCAAUUGGUAAAGAUGGUGUCUGCACCGACAGAAUGGCUAGCUUUCACACCCCUCUUCGAGGAAGUACAACGAUGUAAGACGUUCUUUCCUCAUUUCUCACUCCAGCAUAUUUCUAGAGCAAAAAAGUAUUAUGGCGGAUAAACUUGCAUGAGGUGCAGAACCUCUCCUUCAGCUAUGUACUAUGUUGGCACUUCGACUUCAACUUGGGAGAAAUUUUUUAUUAAAUCGUGAAAGUCAUUUCAUAUAGUAGUUCUUAAAAAUAAUAUAUAAAUUUACAAAAAUAUUUUUAUGCGAGAAAAAUUGAAAUCAUGUAAUUAUAAACAUUUGUAAAUGAUAUAAUUAAGAUCUAAUAAAAUUUAAUUGUUUUCAACAUAGAUGAGUUGAUUUAGAAUGAGUCAUGAUAUUAUUUGGUUUAGGGUUUGGUAACAUAUGUUAUAUUAUUGAUUGUAUUUUAGGGUUAGAUUUUGGAAUCCUAACUUUUGUUUUGAAAAAUUAAAUUUGACUUAUAUGUGUUUAGUUUUGUGUAUAUUAAACACUUUAAAGGUUGAUUUUAAGUUUAAUGAAGUGUUUGUUUUUUUUUAGUUUAGUUAUUUGAUUUUAGGGUUUAGGUGACUUUAAUUUUAACAAAUAAAGCAUUAUAUGAAAGUCUUCCGAAUCGAAAAUAUCCAAUCUUAUUAGAAUUUUUGUCUCCUUAUAUAAAGAAAAGUUACACAUUUUCUCACUCCCUCUCUCUCAAAUGGCAACAACAAAAAUGUAAUGUUUCUCAUUCUAAAACUCUCAAACCUCUCUCUAAUCUCUUUAAAUUUGAAAACACCAAACUUUAUAUCAAUUUCUCAAUUUUUUGUUUCAUGUCUCUCACUGAUUUAUCUUGUUUUUGCAGAUUUUUUAUUACAUGGUUUUCAUCUUCCACCCUUUUUAUGUUAUAUUUAUAAAUUUUGUGUUUGAUUCUAAAAAGUUAUAUAUUCAACCUAACGUGACUGUUUUAUUUAUUAUUUAAGUAUUAAAAACUUAUUUUAAAGUUAUUCUCUAUUUUGAAGCCAUUUGAAUGGUUUUGUAUAUGUAUGUUUUUCAGUUCCGAGUUAGACUUUUAGGAAGUCUUUUCUUCUUAGAAGUCUUCUAGCAUAUAAUGCACUAGAAUACUUCCCAAAAAGUCUUCUCUCAUGUCUCUUAUUUCAUAACAGACCUGAGCAUUUUGGUUAGUCUACAUGUCUGAUUUUUCUUCAUUUGGUAAUCUCUUGUUGAUUAAAGCUCUUACCUCUCUCUCAAACUAUGUCUGAGUCUUUGAUUUAGUUUUAGAUCUGGAGCUGUCAAAGUGGAGGAGCUGUCCGAGAUGGAGGAAGAGGCCUCAGAGGUUGCUGCUGGAGGUGUCAAAGUAGCAGAUGAGAUCUCGUAGGUUGAAGUUGAUGGUGGAGCCAAAACAAAUAUGAGCGUUUUUUGUAACUCUCCAUGUAUAAAUUUUGUUCACCUGGUUUUUGAAGAUUUCAUGGAAAACUUCUGCUUCAUGCAUGCGAAUUCUUCUGAAGUAUUCCAGGAAGUCUUCCACCUCAUGCAUGCGAAUUCUUCUGAAGUAUUCCAGGAAGUCUUCCACCUCAUGCAUGCGAAGUCUUUUGAAGUAUUCCAAGAAGUCUUCUCAAGUAUUCAAGACUCCUAAUAUUGACUAAUGUAUAUAAAUUAAUAAGAAAAUAUUAAGCAAUCAUUUUAAUUAUAGAAAAAAUGAAAAUUUAUUAAACAUUGUCCUAUAAGACUUUUACGAAAGUCUUCUGGUAGAAGACUUCUAGGAAGUCUACCAUUUAUGUCAUUUUUGCAAUUGCAAAUUUACAAAAGAAGACUUCUAAAGAAAUCUGCUAUGCAGCAGACUUCUCUAGAAGUCUUCCUUUGUAAGUAUUGGCUUACUUUGGUAUUUGAAUUUUUUUUGAAAAUACCAGAGAAGUCUUUCUUGGAAAUCUUCAAUAAAAAGUCAUAUUUUGGACAC